rnacentral:rRNA from 1 species
AUUGAACGCUGGCGGCAUGCCUAAUACAUGCAAGUCGAACGGGGAAAGCUUUCGGGUGAGUACUAGUGGCGCACGGGUGAGUAACGCGUGGAUAAUCUGCCUUAGAGUGGGGGAUAACUAGUCGAAAGAUUAGCUAAUACCGCAUAAGACCACAAGAACUGCGGUUCAAGGGGUCAAAGGUUUUUCGCUCUAAGAUGAGUCCGCGUAAGAUUAGCUAGUUGGUGAGGUAAUGGCUCACCAAGGCGACGAUCUUUAACUGGUCUGAGAGGAUGAUCAGUCACACUGGAACUGAGACACGGUCCAGACUCCUACGGGAGGCAGCAGUAGGGAAUAUUGCACAAUGGAGGAAACUCUGAUGCAGCGACGCCGCGUGAGUGAUGAAGGCCUUCGGGUCGUAAAGCUCUGUCGCAAGGGAAUAACACAAUGAAUGUACCUUGCAAGAAAGGAUCGGCUAACUUCGUGCCAGCCGCCGCGGUAACAC